CCUACGGGAGGCAGCAGUGAGGAAUAUUGGACAAUGGGCGCAAGCCUGAUCCAGCCAUGCCGCGUGCAGGAAGACGGUCCUAUGGAUUGUAAACUGCUUUUGUACAGGAAGAAACACUCCCUCGUGAGGGAGCUUGACGGUACUGUAAGAAUAAGGAUCGGCUGACUCCGUGCCAGCAGCCGCGGUAAUACGGAGGAUCCAAGCGCUAUCCGGAAUCAUUGGGUUUAAAGGGUCCGUAGGCGGUUUAAUAAGUCAGUGGUGAAAUCUGGUCGCUCAACGAUCAAACGGCCAUUGAUACUGUUAGACUUGAAUUAUUAGGAAGUAACUAGAAUAUGUAGUGUAGCGGUGAAAUGCUUAGAUAUUACAUGGAAUACCAAUUGCGAAGGCAGGUUACUACUAAUGGAUUGACGCUGAUGGACGAAAGCGUGGGGAGCGAACAGGAUUAGAUACCCUGGUAGUCCACGCCGUAAACGAUGGAUACUAGCUGUUCGGAGCAAUCUGNGUGNGUAGACGAAGUAGAGUAAGUAUACCACCGUACGGGAGGUACGUUACGCGAGAAGUAGAACGUACGAACGUAAGUUAGUACGGACGUAGAGACGUUAGACGACGGACGACGACGAGGGAGGAGG
rnacentral:rRNA from 1 species